ensembl:lncRNA
AAAUAACCGUCCGCUUACGUUGCAUAUAUAUAUAUAUAUAUAUAUAUAUAUAUAUAUAUAUAUGUUAUUUACCUGCCGGCUUAUUCUGUGUGUUGUAUUGUGUGUAUUUAUGUUCAUCGUUCUUCUUGUUACAUUAUAGCUCAAGUAAAUGUUUUAUUACUGUAUUUGGUGUCGGGCUGUUUGAUGUGUGUUGACAGUUUAAAUAUAUGGUUAGCAGAUUGUAGUCACCUAGCAUUAAUUAAUUAAGAAACAGUUAAGAAUUCGGGCAGCGCACUCCACUCAAAUAGCCAGGACGGCUAGGGGGCGCUACAAGUAUACCAAGGUAUAGGUUACAGUAGGCCAAGGAGAGUAGAGGAAAGAAAAACUGAGGUUAUAUGAGAAACAAUUCUCCUUUUUGUUUUCCUAUAAGUUGCGUGCAGCGGUCAGCAAAAGUCAGUUCACAGCGUAAAUAAUAACGGAUAAUGCAAGGAACCAACUUCAAUAACUUCAUGAGUCUCUAACUGUAGCAGCAACAAACGCGUUCAGCACUUGUGUCCUUUGGAAAAAGUUCUGUUUUCUUUAUUUGCAGCAUGUUUUUGUUUUGAUUAGUUUCAUGUGUUUUCUUAAGUGUCAGUGUGUUGAGCUCUCAGGGCCACCAUAGAGCUGACAAAGAUUGAUCAUGAUGAAAUGAGACAUUUCAUCAUGAUCAAUCUUUGUUUUUUUUGGGGAGAGAGAACAUUAAGGGAAUGACCCUCACACCUGUCACAACAGUAAACAUAAGAUAAGAUAAGAUAUUCCUUUAUUAGUCCUACAAAGGGAAAUUCACAGGAUUGCAGCAGCAAAGUGGACAGUGCGCACAAGUUACAUGGUAAACAUAGCUACAGAUAAUACAAUUAUAGGUAGCUGGAUUGAUUUUGAUGUGUCAAUUGGCUUUUUUUGUUUUGUUUAGCUACAAGUGUGUUAACCUUGCUAUGAUACAUCUGAUGAAGUGUUUAAAGGAAUGUUAAAAAAUGAAAGCCUACUUUCUAGGAAUUCUCAAAGAAUCUUUGCGCUUUUUCUCAUUUGUUUCCCCAGAUGCACCAAGGAUUGGGCUGAUUACUGGGAAUUUUGAAGAUUGUUCUUUAUCUGCACUGUCACUUCUGGUUGAGCACCCCCGUGGUUUCCUGCUAAACAGCAGCUCGAAGGAAGAAAAUCCCUUGGCCUGGAGAACCUCCCGUACUGCAAACAACAGAGGAUCAAGCCAUUUAUCCCAAUUAUAAAUACCCUGUGAUGGCGGCCUUCAGUGUCGCCGGACGGUGAUAUCGGACCCACGCCGUCGUCCGGGGUGGCAGACACUCCAGGAGCUGCUCCACCACUACCUUCUCCACCACCGUCGGCGCUCCACCCACGCUCCCCGGCUGCAGCCACAUGUUUGCCGCAUCCUUCAGACGCUGGGCAAAUUUUAACGGGCAGUCCCCCGGGCCUCGCCUCGCCUCUCGGAAGGCUCUCUUGUGGUCUUCGGGGGACAGCCCUAUCAGGUCCAUGAUGGCAACUCUUCACAUCUGAGUAAAUGUGCCUAGCCCAGGGCCCCAGACCCAGCGCCGCCGUCUGACCCUCCCCAGUCAGGACCUGCAGAUUUUAUUUUGACAUUUUCUUUAUUCCUAAGAAGUGGUUCUACGUCAAUGAUGAACAAGCCGGUGUACGCCUGCUGGAAUGUCAAGUGUUGUCUAGAGUGACAUACAUUGUUCCGAUGGCCGGAGUGCAGUCAAAGAUGACACAGUUGUUAUUAAGAGUUUAUGCCUUAAACCUAGGUAAGUUAAUGAUACUUGUUUGUAUUUAAUUCUAUUAAUUUAAAGUACGAUUACAAGUCACUAGUCCUUUGAACUAAUUUCUUUAAAGGCGUGGAUGGUCCGGUUUUAAUAUCAAAUUUUCCUGAGGCAGGUGCUCGCUCACACAGUGAGACCUCCAUGGCUGUUUAGGUGUAGCGGCUAUUUAUAAUAUACCGGCGGGCCAAAGAUAAUUGCCUUGAGUUUGACAUAUAAGCCUUUUAUGGGAUUUUAAAAAUCAAACCACAGCACACCUAAGCUAAACCCUGAGAACAAUGAGAACGCAAAGAGAAACGUUUGACCAAACACAUUUCAACUCGCCCAAGCUGUGUGUAUCAACAGGACUUCUAACACCUGCAGAGCCUUCACAACGGCUUACCUGCUCCCUGUUAACACACACUUACAAGAGCUACUCAGCAGAGAGCUGUGACAGCAUGUGUUGAUAUUCACUCAGUUCUUCUGUCAAAUAAUGUUGAUAAAAUGACAUUUUCAUCAGCUCUGUAGGAGAAUGAGGACAUCCCUUGCACACAGAUUAAGCGUUCAACCACACACACUCACACACACACACUGAUGUCCCACUCAACACAUCACACCCAUUCUCCUCAACACGUCCCAUUUAAUCUGAUAGCUGGCUGCAGUGAAAUGUGGAAGGGAAAUAAUUUAAAAGUGUGUGAAGGAGAAGAAAAGGCAAAGAUGAGGAAAGGAAGAAAACAUGACAUGAAAAAUAACAGCACCAGUGGCACGGUCAUUUGUAUUUGUGAGGCCACUGACAUAUGAAGAUGCAUGGAACCAUUUCAGACUGGACAUAAACAGGAUGGUUAGAAUGUUUGGAUGCUUUAUGGUAAAGUGCCUCAAAGCACAUUCUUUUGUAGUAUUUGUUUCUGUGUUCUGUCCUUUUCACAUAUGCAGUCAAACCCUCAAGAGAAACAUUUACAGCAGGUUGUCAUGUGUGAGACAAGAAUAUCAAGGGUUAAGAUAUGGCGAAACUCAUGACAAAUUAGAAACUGCAAAUUGUCUAGCAAACUAGUUGAAUAUUAAAUUCAUUAUAAGAGUUCCCUCCUCCGGACCCAGGAGAAGGCUGGCCUUUGCACGCACCUGUCACUGUCCUCGUAAUCACGCACCUGCACCAGAUCUGCAAUCACCAGGGUAUAAGAGGGAGAGCCGGACAACAAAGUCACGUAGGUGGACCUCAGGCAUGGUCGAAGUCUCAGUAUAGGAGAAAUCGAGUCUGCCGAGAGCGGUUUGUUAUUUUUUUGAUUUUGUGUCUGUCAACGUCCGCUACUUACCUCUCGUUUUGCCUCCUUUCGGCACCUGUCUUUUCCUGCACGCUGGAUUCUCACGGGAUAUUGUACACCUGGGAAUUCACUCUCACCAUCCGCACUCCUCACGCUCGUUCCUGCCGCUCACCUACCCUUGUGUCAUCGAAUAAAUCAGACUUUCACCUGCUUUCUGACUGCCGUGUCGUUUACGUUCUGCGUUUGGGUUCAGUCCCACUACAACAUCUGACAAUAAGAACAUUAGCAUUGCACAAACAGCUCGUUAGCUGCUAUGCUAUGUUCCUGAAAAUAUUAAGAAAAGAUCUUACGCCACAUACAUUUUGGAUUUUUGUGACAGAAGAGGGUGUGGCUAAGGCAGUAAAACAUUUUUAGGCAACCAAAAUGUUACAGGUUCUAACAAAAAUAAAGUGCAUCAGAAUCGGACCUUGCUGCCUGAUAAAUGUCCAUCUUGACCUGUACCAUGCAUUAUAUUUGCCAAUGUCGACAUGGCAUGUAUAUAGGCACACAGAACCAUAAAGAAUACGGUAGCUAAUUCCUGUUGAAUUUAUUGGGAGUGAGGAUUAGCAAAUUACGCUACUCAAAUCA